rnacentral:rRNA from 1 species
GACGAACGCUGGCGGCGUGCUUAACACAUGCCAGUCGAACGGAAAGGCCCUGCUUUUGUGGGGUGCUCGAGUGGCGAACGGGUGAGUAACACGUGAGUAACCUGCCCUUGACUUUGGGAUAACUUCAGGAAACUGGGGCUAAUACCGGAUAGGAGCUCCUGCUGCAUGGUGGGGGUUGGAAAGUUUCGGCGGUUGGGGAUGGACUCGCGGCUUAUCAGCUUGUUGGUGGGGUAGUGGCUUACCAAGGCUUUGACGGGUAGCCGGCCUGAGAGGGUGACCGGCCACAUUGGGACUGAGAUACGGCCCAGACUCCUACGGGAGGCAGCAGUGGGGAAUAUUGCACAAUGGGCGGAAGCCUGAUGCAGCAACGCCGCGUGCGGGAUGACGGCCUUCGGGUUGUAAUCCGCUUUCGCCUGUGACGAAGCGUGAGUGACGGUAAUGGGUAAAGAAGCACCGGCUAACUACGUG